GCCCUGGCAGUCAGAGGCGAUGAAGGACGUGCUAAUCUGCGAUAAGCGUCGGUAAGGUGAUAUGAACCGUUAUAACCGGCGAUUUCCGAAUGGGGAAACCCAGUGUGAUUCGUCACACUAUCAUUAACUGAAUCCAUAGGUUAAUGAGGCGAACCGGGGGAACUGAAACAUCUAAGUACCCCGAGGAAAAGAAAUCAACCGAGAUUCCCCCAGUAGCGGCGAGCGAACGGGGAGGAGCCCAGAGCCUGAAUCAGUGUGUGUGUUAGUGGAAGCGUCUGGAAAGGCGCGCGAUACAGGGUGACAGCCCCGUACACAAAAAUGCACAUGCUGUGAGCUCGAUGAGUAGGGCGGGACACGUGGUAUCCUGUCUGAAUAUGGGGGGACCAUCCUCCAAGGCUAAAUACUCCUGACUGACCGAUAGUGAACCAGUACCGUGAGGGAAAGGCGAAAAGAACCCCGGCGAGGGGAGUGAAAAAGAACCUGAAACCGUGUACGUACAAGCAGUGGGAGCACAGAGCAAUCUGUGUGACUGCGUACCUUUUGUAUAAUGGGUCAGCGACUUAUAUUCUGUAGCAAGGUUAACCGAAUAGGGGAGCCGAAGGGAAACCGAGUCUUAACUGGGCGUUAAGUUGCAGGGUAUAGACCCGAAACCCGGUGAUCUAGCCAUGGGCAGGUUGAAGGUUGGGUAACACUAACUGGAGGACCGAACCGACUAAUGUUGAAAAAUUAGCGGAUGACUUGUGGCUGGGGGUGAAAGGCCAAUCAAACCGGGAGAUAGCUGGUUCUCCCCGAAAGCUAUUUAGGUAGCGCCUCGUGAAUUCAUCUCCGGGGGUAGAGCACUGUUUCGGCAAGGGGGUCAUCCCGACUUACCAACCCGAUGCAAACUGCGAAUACCGGAGAAUGUUAUCACGGGAGACACACGGCGGGUGCUAACGUCCGUCGUGAAGAGGGAAACAACCCAGACCGCCAGCUAAGGUCCCAAAGUCAUGGUUAAGUGGGAAACGAUGUGGGAAGGCCCAGACAGCCAGGAUGUUGGCUUAGAAGCAGCCAUCAUUUAAAGAAAGCGUAAUAGCUCACUGGUCGAGUCGGCCUGCGCGGAAGAUGUAACGGGGCUAAACCAUGCACCGAAGCUGCGGCAGCGACACUAUGUGUUGUUGGGUAGGGGAGCGUUCUGUAAGCCUGUGAAGGUGUGCUGUGAGGCAUGCUGGAGGUAUCAGAAGUGCGAAUGCUGACAUAAGUAACGAUAAAGCGGGUGAAAAGCCCGCUCGCCGGAAGACCAAGGGUUCCUGUCCAACGUUAAUCGGGGCAGGGUGAGUCGACCCCUAAGGCGAGGCCGAAAGGCGUAGUCGAUGGGAAACAGGUUAAUAUUCCUGUACUUGGUGUUACUGCGAAGGGGGGACGGAGAAGGCUAUGUUGGCCGGGCGACGGUUGUCCCGGUUUAAGCGUGUAGGCUGGUUUUCCAGGCAAAUCCGGAAAAUCAAGGCUGAGGCGUGAUGACGAGGCACUACGGUGCUGAAGCAACAAAUGCCCUGCUUCCAGGAAAAGCCUCUAAGCAUCAGGUAACAUCAAAUCGUACCCCAAACCGACACAGGUGGUCAGGUAGAGAAUACCAAGGCGCUUGAGAGAACUCGGGUGAAGGAACUAGGCAAAAUGGUGCCGUAACUUCGGGAGAAGGCACGCUGAUAUGUAGGUGAAGCGACUUGCUCGUGGAGCUGAAAUCAGUCGAAGAUACCAGCUGGCUGCAACUGUUUAUUAAAAACACAGCACUGUGCAAACACGAAAGUGGACGUAUACGGUGUGACGCCUGCCCGGUGCCGGAAGGUUAAUUGAUGGGGUCAGCGCAAGCGAAGCUCUUGAUCGAAGCCCCGGUAAACGGCGGCCGUAACU
rnacentral:rRNA from 1 species